UCUUUUAAGGGUUCUGAGGUAAUCUUCAUAAUACUGAAAUUCUUCAUCUGGAAUCUGACUCACUUUAGCCUCUUCUCUUCCCUGCCUUGAAGCAGCAGUUCUCAAAGUUGUGUCUGUCUGCAUCGGAAUCAACUGAAGGGUUGUUAGUCUGCAGCUGUUGAAUCUGAUCCAGAGUGGGUGUGGCUAAUGGCUAGUUCAGAAAUCCCAGUGUGUCAGAAGGCUGAGGGAGGAGCAAUAGGCCCAGAAUUUCAGCAGUUUAUAACACAAUGAGGACAAUGUCUCAGAGCUAAAUGGUGGUGUGAGGGGUGAUUUGCAUCCUUCAUCAGUUUUCACCUGGAGAAGAAUCACUUCAAAGCUUUGACUCAAGUUCCAGGAAGCUGAAAGUACAAAGUACAGAAUCACAAGUUAACCAUGUGAUGGUGACUGUCUGACCAUGGAAUGUCCCAAACCUGGUCUCCAUUGUGACUGUUUAACCACAGAAUACUCCAACCUGCAGGCAGCCAAUGGAAAAUGGUGACAAACAACUAACCCCCUAGCAGUAAGAUAAAGACAAGAUUUCUGGAACGUCUCUGAAAGAAAGCCAAUCAGAAAUGCACCCGUGCUGAAACUCCCAGCUAUUGUAAUCUUGCAGUUUUUGCCUUUAAAAGCUGUGUUCAAUUCAGGCUGAGCACCUCCUCCAGCCUCCACUGCAUUGGAUGUGCUUGACGAGGUCCCUGCCUAGACUUGAAUUGCUCCCCAAUAAAGCCUUGCUUUUGCA